rnacentral:rRNA from 1 species
GAGUUUGAUCCUGGCUCAGGAUGAACGCUAGCUACAGGCUUAACACAUGCAAGUCGAGGGGCAGCAUGAUCGAAGCUUGCUUUGAUUGAUGGCGACCGGCGCACGGGUGAGUAACGCGUAUCCAACCUUCCCUAUAGUAGAGGGAUAGCCCGGCGAAAAGUCGGAUUAAUACUCUAUGUUUUCCAAUGCAGACAUCUAAGUUGGAACAAAGGUUCACCGCUAUAGGAUGGGGAUGCGUCUGAUUAGGUAGUCGGCGGGGUAACGGCCCACCGAGCCAACGAUCAGUAGGGGUUCUGAGAGGAAGGUCCCCCACAUUGGAACUGAGACACGGUCCAAACUCCUACGGGAGGCAGCAGUGAGGAAUAUUGGUCAAUGGGCGAGAGCCUGAACCAGCCAAGUAGCGUGCAGGAUGACGGCCCUAUGGGUUGUAAACUGUCUUUUAUACGGGGAUAAAGUGAGGGACGUGUCCCUUAUUGUAGGUACCGUAUGAAUAAGGACCGGCUAAUUCCGUGCC